rnacentral:rRNA from 1 species
GUGAGGAAUAUUGGUCAAUGGACGAGAGUCUGAACCAGCCAAGUCGCGUGAAGGAAGACGGUUCUAUGAAUUGUAAACUUCUUUUGUGCAGGAAUAAAGUGGGUUACGUGUAACCUUUUGUAUGUACUGUACGAAUAAGGAUCGGCUAACUCCGUGCCAGCAGCCGCGGUAAUACGGAGGAUCCGAGCGUUAUCCGGAUUUAUUGGGUUUAAAGGGUGCGUAGGUGGAUUGAUAAGUCAGCGGUGAAAGUUUGCAGCUUAACUGUAAAAUUGCCGUUGAAACUGUCGGUCUUGAGUGCAAAUGAGGUAGGCGGAAUGUGUUGUAUAGCGGUGAAAUGCUUAGAUAUAACACAGAACUCCGAUUGCGAAGGCAGCUUACUGGGAUGCAACUGACACUGAUGCACGAAAGCGUGGGUAUCAAACAGGAUUAGAUACCCGAGUAGUCC